ACCCAAUCCGAUCCAAAAUAAAUUUGGUUUGGUUUGAUUUUCCUCUAUUCGGUUCUACUUUUUUCGGUUUGGUUAUUCGGUUAUGUCAAUAAUUACUAAUAUAACCAAAGUAAUAAUAUUUAAUCCCUUAAAUAUACUUUCUAAUAUAAAUCAUAAGUAAAACUUAAAACACAAUACUUAUAAGUAUACCUAUUAUAGAU
rnacentral:lncRNA from 1 species